rnacentral:rRNA from 1 species
AACGAACGCUGGCGGCAGGCUUAACACAUGCAAGUCGAACGGGUGUAGCAAUACAUCAGUGGCAGACGGGUGAGUAACACGUGGGAACCUUCCUAGGGGUACGGAACAACUCAGGGAAACUUGAGCUAAUACCGUAUACGUCCGUGAGGAGAAAGAUUUAUCGCCCUUAGACGGGCCCGCGUCGGAUUAGGUAGUUGGUGGGGUAACGGCCUACCAAGCCUACGAUCCGUAGCUGAUCUUAGAGGAUGAUCAGCCACACUGGGACUGAGACACGGCCCAGACUCCUACGGGAGGCAGCAGUGGGGAAUCUUGGACAAUGGGCGCAAGCCUGAUCCAGCCAUGCCGCGUGAGUGAAGAAGGCCUUAGGGUUGUAAAGCUCUUCUACCAGGGACGAUAAUGACGGUACCUGGAGAAUAAGCCCCGGCAAACUUCGUGCCAGCCGCCGCCGUAACAC